rnacentral:rRNA from 1 species
AGAGUUUGAUCCUGGCUCAGGACGAACGCUGGCGGCGUGCUUAACACAUGCAGGUCGAACGGAAAGGCCUCUUCGGAGGUACUCGAGUGGCGAACGGGUGAGUAACACGUGGGCAAUCUGCCCUGCACUUCGGGAUAAGCCUGGGAAACUGGGUCUAAUACCGGAUAGGACCUCAAGACGCAUGUCUUCUGGUGGAAAGCUUUUGCGGUGUGGGAUGGGCCCGCGGCCUAUCAGCUUGUUGGUGGGGUGACGGCCUACCAAGGCGACGACGGGUAGCCGGCCUGAGAGGGUGUCCGGCCACACUGGGACUGAGAUACGGCCCAGACUCCUACGGGAGGCAGCAGAAGGG